GGACCGAUCCAGACGGUCGCUCGUACGCAUUCGUGCGUGCGGGAGGAAAGUCCGAGCACAGGCGGAAGCGAUUCCGCAGCAGGGUAGCGGGUAACGCCCGUCCGCAGCGAUGCGCGAGGUGCGAGCAGAGACGCUCAAGCAGAAAUGCGCGAGCAUCUGGCUUCGGUCAGAUGAGUCCGCUAGGCGACUAGCGGGGUGAAACGGCUAAAUCCUUACCUCUGUGCAAGGCCGUGCCGGUACUCCUAGGAGACGCCGGAGCGCCGCUCGAGGCCAUCGGUAACGAUGGUCCCAGAUAGAUGGCCGUCCUCCUCACGGGGACAGAACUCGGCUUAUCGGAUCGGUCCGAAU
rnacentral:RNase_P_RNA from 2 species